rnacentral:rRNA from 1 species
AACGAACGCUGGCGGCAUGCCUAACACAUGCAAGUCGAACGAAGGCUUCGGCCAUAGUGGCGCACGGGUGCGUAACGCGUGGGAAUCUGCCCUUGGGUUCGGAAUAACUCAGAGAAAUUUGAGCUAAUACCGGAUGAUGACGUAAGUCCAAAGAUUUAUCGCCCAAGGAUGAGCCCGCGUAAGAUUAGCUAGUUGGUGGGGUAAAGCCUACCAAGGCGACGAUCUUUAGCUGGUCUGAGAGGAUGAUCAGCCACACUGGGACUGAGACACGGCCCAGACUCCUACGGGAGGCAGCAGUAGGGAAUAUUGGACAAUGGGGGGAACCCUGAUCCAGCCAUGCCGCGUGAGGGAAGAAGGUCCUCCGGAUUGUAAACCUCUUUUGGCAGGAAACAAACCUGCGCUAUACGCGCAGCUGAGGGUACCUGCAGAUAAGCACCGGCUAACUCCGUG